rnacentral:rRNA from 1 species
UACGUAGGGGGCGAGCGUUGUCCGAAGUUACUGGGCGUAAAGCGCGCGUAGGCGGUCUCUUAAGUCCGGGGUGAAAGGUUCAGCGCUCAACGCGAACAGUGCCCUGGAGACUGGGGGACUUGAGUGUGGGAGGGGGCAGUGGAAUUCCGGGCGUAGCGGUGAAAUGCGUAGAUAUCCGGAGGAACACCGAUGGCGAAGGCAGCUGCCUGGCCUGACACUGACGCUGAGGUGCGAAAGCGUGGGGAGCGAACGGG